rnacentral:lncRNA from 10 species
GUCUUGCUCUGUCACCUAGGCUGGAGUGCAGUGGUGCAAUCAUAACUCACUGCAGCUUCGACCUCCUGGCCUCAAGUGAUCCUCUCACCUCAGCCUCCCAAGUAGCUGAGACCACAGGUGCCAUUCUCUCUCUCUCUCUCUCUCUCUCUCUCUGUUUCUCUCUUUCUCUCUCCCUCUCUCCCUCUUUCUCUCUCAGAAACGGGGUCUCACUAUGUUGCCCAGGCUCAUCUUGAAAUCCUGGCCUCAAGUGAUCCUCCCACCUUGGCCUCCCAAAGUGCUCAGAUUACAAGCAUGAGCCAUUGCACCUGGCCUGAAAUAUUAUUUACCUUGAUUAUUGAGUUUUUUGGUGCCCCUUUAAGUUUUGCACCUGAGGCUGGUGCCUCACCCAACUCACAUUAGCCCCUGCCCUGAUUAUUUCUAACAUGCAAUCCACACCAUAUCAUUAGUUCCUCAGCAAAUACUCUACUAUUAUCACUACUUCACAGUUGCAAAAACUGAGGCACAACUGUGCCCAAUGUCCCAAAGGAAGGAGAAGAAAAAUCUGAACUUGAACCCCAGUUUCUUCGUUUUUUGGUUCAGAGCCUGCCCAGUAUAGCACUACAAUAAGCUGAAUUUUAUAAAUUGGGUUUUGAGUUAAGGAAUCAAAAGCUUCAGGCUUAAGUCCCACCUCUGCCCCAGAGUCUUCUGAGCCCUCCAUUUUCACAGACGUCAGUUGCCCUAGGUGGAACUGGACUUUAAUAUUCUCCACAUCCCUUAUUUUUUCCCAAAACAGUUUACCAGCUUUUUCUUUCCUGAACCAGGAGCAAUAGCAAAAAUUGGGAAUGGGAAGAAACAGGUACCAGCCAGGACACCUGAACGAACUUGGAGCUCAGGAACCCAGGAGGGGAUUGGAGAGAGUGGGGAGACUCCAUGGUCCACAAUGAAUGCUCCUUCCCCAUCCGAAAAAAUCCCCUAGCCCAGUUUUUGGGCAGAUGCCAGACUUUUAUUCUGAAGCGUGGGCCACAACCUAUGAGGUAAUCUUUGGAGCUUCAUUCUGAGGCGGAAUCCCAUUGGCCAGUUGGGGAAGCCCCUCCCAGGAUUCCUGGCGCUCCGCCUUCCCUGAAGCCUAUAAAAGCGCAGGUCCCCGCCUCGGCAGCCACGGGACACCUGCAUCUGCCAACAAGACUGGAAGCAGAAAGGGACAGAGACGGCGAAGUUUGACGGUCUGGAAAGCAGAGACCAGCAGGGCUGACUGCUUGGGAGCGCCUCUCGGGAGGUCCGAGAAGAGAACCGCGAUCUGUUUCAGCACCGGGGCUCAGGACAGUUCCCAGCGGGCUCCGUUUCGUCUCCAGAACCCUGGACAGCUCCUCCAGCUUGGAAUGCACUCCCUCCACCUCCAACCAGAGCUCCCCACAACUGACCCUGCCUUCUUCUGCAAGCUCCAUUUCAUCAAGGGAAACGAUCCUUAUUGCCUCACCAUUUCCCACGUGAAGUCUGUAUUGACAUUCUCAUAGACCUGGGAUAUUGUGUCUGCAGCACAUAGUCCAAUUAUUUUCAUGUUAUCUACUGACAGGUCUAUUUGUCUCCCUGUUACACUGUGAGCUCCGUGAGGGCAGAAACAAUGUUAGUAUUUUCACUGCUGUGUCCCCAGCGCCUGGUCCGGGGCCCGGCACACAGCAGGCAUAUAAUAAGCAUGUGUUGAAUCAAUAAAGGCAUCAAAGAAUAAACCAAUACAUCAAUCAAUAAAUGAAUGAAUGGCCUCAGCACACACAGGAAGAUCCUUCUUCUAGGUCUCCCCCAGAGAGAUACUGGAGGGCAAUGGUUGCUGGAGGUGUUUAUUGGGGAAGCAUAAUUGAAUUUGUGGACACUUAAGGGCCGGCCAGCCAACUCACAGCCCCAAGAGAGAGAGCCAGGCUCAUUUAAUUAGCAAUUACAAGGCACUGAUUCCUCAUUAGCUCUGGCAACCCUCGUCUCCCUCCUCAGCCCCAGACAAAUGAAAUCUUUCUCUCUCUCCCAGGAGUACUGCCUCAGUGGGUCCAUUAACAAGCAGAGAAAAUGAGAUUAGAAGACACCUAAAUGCCAGAGGCACUUUAUGAAUGGGCUGAGCAGAGGGAGGUUCAAUGUCUGGGUUAGGUCUAAUUGUGGGAGGUUUCCUGGUCUAUUUAGAAUUGCCCCCUGGGAAUGCAAGGUCUUUCAGAAAGGAAAAGGCACACAGAUAUUGCCUUCUGGGGUCCUCAAUGGAGGAGGACAUUCUGCUAUGGGUGUCUCCCAGUCACCCCAAAUUAAUCAUUUCAAAGUGAACACUCAAUCUGCCCAGCCCCUAGCUUCCUCCCCUGACAUGCCCAUGAAUAUGACAGUCCCUCUACAUGCCCAAGAUCCUCCCCUCCUCAUCCACUCCCCAUGAUCCCCAAGAUGAGUCACUGUGCUCAAAUCCAUCCUCUCUCCUCCAGCCCUCUGCCUCCAUGACCUCCCUCCAGCCCUCUGCCUCCAUGACCUCCGCCUCCCUGCAUGUCCGGAUCUCCUCACUGUCUCCCCUCUGAGCAUACACACACAUACAGCCUGUUCAUUCUCUACAUGCAGCGAGGGGACUUUCCAGAACACACAUCUGACCAAGUUCCACUCCUGCCUGUCACCCUUCCAAGAGCCCCACUGACUGCAGAAUAACGUUCAAAUAUCCGGUUGGGCGUGGUGGCUCAUGCCUGCAGUCCCAGCACUUUGGGAGGCCAAGGUGGGUGGAUCACUUGCACAGGACCACAGGCGUGUGCCACCACACCCAGCUAAUUUUUAUAUUUUUGGUAGAGACGGAGUUUCACCAUGUUGGCCAGGCUGACCUCAAGUGAUCCACCCGCCUCAACCUCCCAAAGUGCUGGGAUUACAGGCAUGAGUCACUGCACCGGUCUAAUUUUUUCAGAGUCUCACUCUUGCCCAGGCUGGAGUGCAGUAGCAUGAUCUCGGUUCACUGCAACCUCUGCCUCCUGGUUUCAAGCGAUUCUCUUGGCUCAGCCUCCUGAGCAGCUGGGAUUACAGGCACGUGCCACCACACUUAGCUAAUUUUUGUAUUUUUAGUAGAGAUGGGGGUCUCACCAUGCUGGCACAGUUGGUCUUGAACUCCUGACCUCAAGUGAUCCACCCACCUCGGCUUCCCAAAGUGCUGGGAUUACAGACGUGAGCCACCGCGCCCGGCCAGCCUUUAUUGAUUCUUUUUAAAGCCACACUAACCUUUUAUUUUCCCCCAAAGACCCCUGGGAGCCCUCAGUUUUUCCUGGCAGUUUCAUCUUUGUACCCCUGACCUCCCCACACACACGCCUAGCUCAGUGCUGGCAUCCAAUAUUCACUUUGGGUAUAAAUGCUUGUGCCUGAGCCUAUCACCUUCAUCACACAGAAAAUCCUGGAGGCCACACACCCCUGUAAAGACGAGCCAUUACCCACAGAGGUCCAACCAACUUACCACCCUCUCCCAGCCACCCCCAAGGACCCAGCUUGCAGCUGCCUGCUCAAUGGCUUUAGAAACUAAAAAAGGUGAAUGAGUUUCCAUCACUGCCCUCCUGGGCUUUGCCGUUAUGGCUGGUUAACUUGACAGAAGAACACAUUAUACUUCAUUUUUUGCUGUUGUCUUGUUGGAAAAAAAAGUGACAGCUGGGUGCAGUGGUGCACACUGUAGUCACAGCUACUCAGGAGAAUUGCUUGAGCACAGGAAUUGGAGGCUACACUGAGCAAUGAUCGCCUCACUGCACUCCAGCCUGAACGACAGAGCAAGACCCUCUUAAAAAAUACGUGAGAGAGGGUGCGUAUGAUGGCUCAUGCCUGUAAUCCCAGCAGUUUG